UUCCCUGUCGUUCAACGGUUGAGCGCCGCAUCGUUAUUGCGGAUAUCCAGGUUCGAAUCCUGGCGGGGGAG
rnacentral:tRNA from 1 species